GUACAAUAAGCAAAAUAAGGGCGUAUGGGGGAUGCCUAGGCUCUCAGAGGCGAAGAAAGGCGUGAUAAGCUGCGAAAAGCUACGGGGAUUGGCACACACGAAUUGAUCCGUAGAUACCUGAAUGGGGCAACCCACUAUGUUGAAGACAUAGUACACCGAUAGGUGGGCAAACCCGCUGAACUGAAACAUCUAAGUAGGCGGAGGAGAAGAAAACAAAAGUGAUUCCGUAAGUAGUGGCGAGCGAACGCGGAUUAGCCCAAACCAAUGUUGUUACGGCAAUGUUGGGGUUGUAGGACCACGAGAUUUCUUGCAUAAAGAAUUAGAAUCUACUGGAAAGUAGAGCCAAAGAAGGUGAUAGCCCUGUAUAAGUAAUGAAUGUAAAGGAUAGUGGUAUCCUGAGUAGGGCGGGGCACGUGAAACCCUGUCUGAAUUUGGCGGGACCAUCCGCUAAGGCUAAAUACUCCUGAGAGACCGAUAGUGAACCAGUACCGUGAGGGAAAGGUGAAAAGAACCGUGAAUAACGGAGUGAAAUAGAUCCUGAAACCAUACGCUUACAAGCGGUCGGAGCCCUUUCGUGGGGUGACGGCGUGCCUUUUGCAUAAUGAGCCUACGAGUUAACGUUGCUGGCAAGGAUAAGUGGUUAAGCCACGGAUCCGUAGCGAAAGCGAGUCUGAAUAGGGCGCUUUAGUCAGUAGUGUUAGACGCGAAACCGUGUGAUCUACCCAUGGGCAGGAUGAAGCGCUGGUAACACAGUGUGGAGGUCCGAACCGGUUGACGUUGAAAAGUCUUCGGAUGACCUGUGGGUAGGGGUGAAAGGCCAAUCAAACUCGGAAAUAGCUCGUACUCCCCGAAAUGCAUUUAGGUGCAGCGUUAUUUUAGUUAUAUAGAGGUAGAGCUACUGAUUGGAUGCGGGGGCUUCACCGCCUACCAAUUCCUGACAAACUCCGAAUGCUAUAUAAUGAUUGAUAACAGUGAGGGCUUGGGUGCUAAGGUCCAAGUCCGAGAGGGAAAGAACCCAGACCAUCAGCUAAGGUCCCCAAAUAUAUGUUAAGUUGAAAGAACGAGGUUUGUCUGCCCAGACAGCUAGGAUGUUGGCUUGGAAGCAGCCAUUCAUUUAAAGAGUGCGUAACAGCUCACUAGUCGAGCGGACGAGCAUGGAUAAUAAUCGGGCAUAAACAUAUUACCGAAGCUAUGGAUUUACAAGCAAUUGUAAGUGGUAGGGGAGCAUUCUAACAGGGUUGAAGGUGUGUCGUAAGGCAUGCUGGACUGGUUAGAAAAGAAAAUGUAGGCAUAAGUAACGAUAAUGCGGGCGAGAAACCCGCACACCGAAAGACUAAGGUUUCCACAGCUAUGCUAAUCAGCUGUGGGUUAGUCGGGACCUAAGGCGAACCCGAAAGGGACAGUCGAUGGCCAACGGGUUAAUAUUCCCGUACUACUGAUUACUGUGAUGGGGUGACGGAGUGAUGAAAGCGCCGCGAACUGACGGAAUAGUUCGUUGAAGUACCUACCUAUAAGCUGCGCAGGCAAAUCCACGCGGCUUGGGGAAAUACGAUAGUACUCGGAGACUUCGGUCAAAGAGAUAGUGCGCCUAAGGGCUUCCAAGAAAAACCUCUAAACUUCAGGUAAUUAGUACCCGUACCGUAAACCGACACAGGUAGUCGAGGAGAGAAUCCUAAGGUGCUCGAGAGAUUCAUGGCUAAGGAAUUAGGCAAAAUAGACCCGUAACUUCGGGAGAAGGGUCGCCCCGAGUAAUCGGGGCCGCAGUGAAGAGGUCCAGGCGACUGUUUAUCAAAAACACAGGGCUCUGCAAAAUCGUAAGAUGAAGUAUAGGGCCUGACACCUGCCCGGUGCUGGAAGGUUAAGAGGAGAUGUUAUCUUCGGAGAAGCAUUGAAUUGAAGCCCCAGUAAACGGCGGCCGUAACUAUAACGGUCCUAAGGUAGCGAAAUUCCUUGUCGGGUAAGUUCCGACCUGCACGAAUGGUGUAACGAUCUGGACACUGUCUCAGCCAUGAGCUCGGUGAAAUUGUAGUAACGGUGAAGAUGCCGUUUACCCGCAGUGGGACGAAAAGACCCUGUGCACCUUUACUAUAGCUUAGUAUUGACCUUGGAUAAAUGAUGUGUAGGAUAGGUUGGAGACUGUGAAGUGGCGUCGCUAGGCGUUGUGGAGUCAUUGUUGAAAUACAACCCUUUGUUUAUCUGAGGCCUAACUCUCGAUAGAGAGGACAUUGCUUGGUGGGUAGUUUGACUGGG
rnacentral:rRNA from 1 species